CUGAAGUGGCAGGAGGAGGAGCAAGACACAUAACGUUUUUCUCUAUCACGAAAAGAAAACCUUUAAGGGAGCAGAGAAAAUGGCAAGAAAGGGUCUCACUCUAUCACCCAGGCUGGAGUGCAGUGGCACGAUCACAACUCACUGAAGCCUUGACCUCCUGAGCUCAAGCCAUCCUGCCACCUCAUCCUCCACGUAGCUGUGUUACUGGAAAGGAGUCCUGAUCCAGACUCCAAAAAAGCGUUCUUGGACCUUACAUAAGAAAGAAUUUCAGGUGUCACCUGGACUGAUCUCGCUCUUCGCCAAAUACCCUGCCUUCCUCAUUACCACCCUCCUCACCUGGAGCCAACGCAUCGGUUUCCCGCCUCUGCGUCAGAGACCUACUUCUAGGAAAGGGUGAUUUCCUCUUUUAAAGUGGCAUGAACCCCACAGCUAUAGCACAAGUGAGCAGGAUCAUCAGAAGCCACUCCAUUCUUCUGGAAGCUGCAGAGAAAGGGAACCUGGAAACCUGAUAUGCCAGCAAA